AGCUCCAAUAGCGUAUAUUAAAGUUGUUGCAGUUAAAAGCUCGUAGUUGAAUUUGUGGUCUGGGUGGAUCGGUCCGACGCUCAUGCGUGGGUACCUGAGCCAUCCGACCAUCCUUGGGUGGAACCUGUGUGGCAUUAAGUUGUCGUGCAGGGGAUGCCCAUCGUUUACUGUGAAAAAUUAGAGUGUUCAAAGCAGGCUUAUGCCGUUGAAUAUAUUAGCAUGGAAUAAUAAGAUAGGACUUUAGUACUAUUUUGUUGGUUUGUGCACUAAAGUAAUGAUUAAUAGGGACAGUUGGGGGUAUUCGUAUUCCAUUGUCAGAGGUGAAAUUCUUGGAUUUUUGGAAGACGAACUACUGCGAAAGCAUUUACCAAGGAUGUUUUCAUUAAUCAAGAACG
rnacentral:rRNA from 1 species